rnacentral:rRNA from 1 species
GGGAGGCAGCAGUGAGGAAUAUUGGACAAUGGACGAAAGUGUGAUCCAGCUAUGCCGCGUGCAGGAUGAUGGCCCUAUGGGUUGUAAACUGCUUUUAUACAGGAAGAAAAGCUCCGACGUGUMGGAACUUGACGGUACUGUAAGAAUAAGGAUCGGCUAACUCCGUGCCAGCAGCCGCGGUAAUACGGAGGAUGCCAAGCGUUAUCCGGAAUCAUUGGGUUUAAAGGGUCCGUAGGCGGUUUUUUAAGUCAGAGGUGAAAUCCUGCAGCUCAACUGUAGAAUUGCCUUUGAUACKGAAAGACUUGAGUUAUUGUGAAGUGGUUAGAAUGUGUGGUGUAGCGGUGAAAYGCAUAGAUAUCACACAGAAUACCAAURGCGAAGGCAGAUCACUAACAAUAUACUGACGCUCAGGGACGAAAGCGUGGGUAGCGACACAGGAUUAGAUACCCUGGUAGUCCACUGCCGUAAACGAUGGAUACUAGSUGUAUGUCUACUUCAGGUAGAUGUGUGCCUAACGCGAAGAGUGAUAAG